AACGAACGCUGGCGGCGUGCUUAACACAUGCAAGUCGAACGCGAAAGGGGCUUCGGCCCUGAGUAAAGUGGCGCACGGGUGAGUAACGCGUGGAUAAUCUGCCCUGUGAUCUGGGAUAACACUUCGAAAGGGGUGCUAAUACCGGAUAAGACCACGGAGUCUUAGGACUCUGCGGUAAAAGGUGGGGACCUUCGGGCCUACCGUCAUCGGAUGAGUCCGCGUACCAUUAGCUAGUUGGUAGGGUAAGAGCCUACCAAGGCGACGAUGGUUAGCUGGUCUGAGAGGAUGAUCAGCCACACUGGAACUGAGACACGGUCCAGACUCCUACGGGAGGCAGCAGUGGGGAAUUUUGCGCAAUGGGGGAAACCCUGACGCAGCAACGCCGCGUGAGUGAUGAAGGCCUUCGGGUCGUAAAGCUCUGUCAGAGGGGAAGAAGUGUGCGGGUGCUAAUAUCAUCUGCGCUUGACGGUACCCUCAAAGGAAGCACCGGCUAACUCCGUGCCAGCAGCCGCGGUAAUACGGAGGGUGCGAGCGUUGUUCGGAAUUAUUGGGCGUAAAGCGCGUGUAGGCGGUUUGAUAAGUCUGAUGUGAAAGCCCCGGGCUCAACCCGGGAAGUGCAUUGGAAACUGUCAGACUUGAAUACGGGAGAGGGCAGUGGAAUUCCUAGUGUAGGAGUGAAAUCCGUAGAUAUUAGGAGGAACACCGGUGGCGAAGGCGGCUGCCUGGACCGAUAUUGACGCUGAGACGCGAAAGCGUGGGGAGCAAACAGGAUUAGAUACCCUGGUAGUCCACGCCGUAAACGAUGAGUACUAGGUGUUGCGGGUAUUGACCCCUGCAGUGCCGCAGCUAACGCAUUAAGUACUCCGCCUGGGAAGUACGGGCCGCAAGGCUAAAACUCAA
rnacentral:rRNA from 1 species